CCUACGGGAGGCAGCAGUGAGGAAUAUUGGUCAAUGGGCGAGAGCCUGAACCAGCCAAGUCGCGUGAGGGAGUACUGCCCUAUGGGUUGUAAACUUCUUUUAUAUGGGAAUAAAAUGUUCCACGUGUGGGAUUUUGUAUGUACCAUAUGAAUAAGGAUCGGCUAACUCCGUGCCAGCAGCCGCGGUAAUACGGAGGAUCCGAGCGUUAUCCGGAUUUAUUGGGUUUAAAGGGAGCGUAGGUGGAUUGUUAAGUAAGUUGUGAAAGUUUGCGGCUCAACCGUAAAAUUGCAGUUGAAACUGGCAGUCUUGAGUACAGUAGAGGUGGGCGGAAUUCGUGGUGUAGCGGUGAAAUGCUUGGAUAUCACGAAGAACUCCGAUUGCGAAGGCAGCUCACUGGACUGCAACUGACACUGAGGCUCGAAAGUGUGGGUAUCAAACAGGAUUAGAUACCCGAGUAGUC
rnacentral:rRNA from 1 species